UCCUAGGUGAAAGCAUACGGCUCAACCGUAUUAAGCCGCGGAAACUGUGGAGCUUGAGGCUGGGAGGGGCUGGUGGAAUUCCCUGUGUAGCGGUGAAAUGCGUAGAGAUGGGGGAGAACACUCGUGGCGAAG
rnacentral:rRNA from 1 species